GAGUGGUCCCUGCAGAGGCCUCCAGGCUGCCGGAUGCCUCUGCUUGUACUUCCUCCAGCUCGACGAGCAGAACUUGUCUUGAGUGGCUGCUCAUCCCAGAAUGAUGCCGGGGGAGCCCCCCUGAACCCAGCCUGCAGCCUCGAGACAAUCUCAGCAGACCCCAAAGACCGUGAGUAAGGAAAAUAAAUGUUGGCAGGAUUUGGCUAACUUUUUUUUUAAAGGACCGGUUAGUAAUUGUUUUAGGCGGUGAAGGCCACAGUCUGUUGCAACUCUGCCCUUGUGGUGCAAAAGCAGCCGCAGACAUUUGGUAAGCAAAUGAAUGUGGCUGUCUAAUCAAAUUCUAUUUAUGGAUGCUGAGAUUUGAAUGUCACACAAGUCUCUCAGGUCAUGAAAUAUUUCUCUUUAAAAAACCUUUCCCCCCCCCCAUUUAAAAACACAACUAUUCUUAGCUUGUGAGCCACAGAAAAACAGGUGGUGGUCUAGGUUUGGCCGCUGGCCAUUGUUUGCCCACCCCUGCAGUGAGUCACUGACAUCUGUAGGAUUUCUUUGUUAAACACCAAAACUGAUUAAUGCACCCUUCUCAUGGCACAGUCUUGAACAAAACACUUAUCCCCCCUAAAUCUCAAUUUUUUUUUAACAUAAGAUGGAGGUAAAAAUAUAUUUCUCUCAGGGUAAAUGAAAUAAUGUAUAGGAAUUGCUCUGAUGACAAGUGCUCAGUCUAUAAUGAUUUUAUUCUAUGAUUCCCGUAGAAUGUGGGGCUGUUUGACUCCCGGGCGACCAAAAAACAGGCUCCAAGAAGAGGCCUCUUACAGACGGACGGGCCCACAGGGAGAGGCCCAGUUGCCCCACCCAGCUGGUGCAUGCUGGGAAAUGUCCUGUCCUCUCCCAGGACAGAUGGGGUGGGUGUGGGGCAGGCAGGGAGAAGGUGUACCUGGAGAGUUUGGCCUGGGUGCUCUCAGUAGGGUGGGUUGUGAACAUAGAAACUGGAGUCUGCUUCCCGCCUGGCACUCUGAGGGCAGGAAUCUGGCCAGAGCAGCUGGUGGUAGCUGGAAAAGUGGGGACUGUGAUGUAAUUGCCCUGGAAGAAAGGAUAGGGACCCCCAACCCACGUCUUCCGAUACUUGGGAGGCAUUGUAGAGGGCUCACUGACGCUGCGGCUCUGUGUGAAUGACCUGACACGGAGGAGAGGCGGGAGCUGUGGACUGUGAGGACUGCCCUCAAGCGAGGGGACGCCCCACCAGGGGUCAGGGGCUUGAGCCACUCGCAGGGCCUGAAGGAGACACGGGCAUUCCUUUCCGAGAGGUUCCUCCAUGGGGGAAAUGUCCAGCGUAAGUCGGAACAUCACCCCAGGGAACUGGGAGGGCAAUGGCCUGGCAUCUCCACGGAGGCUAGAGGGACGCAGACCAAGCCAGCGAGAGAUGGGCGGCGAACCAUUCAUGUCCAGCUCAGAGCCCCAGAGGGGCCGGGGUGGGAGACUGAGGCCUGGGAACUUCGAGCCGGACACGAGGCAGCAGGUUAACACCGGAAUGGCUUCUAAUAACUAAAAGUGAUGGGAAAAUAGUGAGACCUGCCUGAGACAUUGGUAGGAGCUGGAAAGUGACAUGUGGUAGAGUGCAGCAGAAGGCAUCAGUUAGAGAAAACAGAAAGCCAGUUACAUGUACGGCACCUGGGUGUGAGACUGCCCAACGACCCGGCUAGGCGCCUUGUCCUCAGGCCCUCCCCUCCACCCCAUCUACCCUGCCAGUGGGGACCUGUUACAAGCUGGUUCCACCCUUCUGCUUAAGGAAGGAAGGAAAAGGGGCGAGGGACGAGGAGAGAGAAAGAAAGAAAUCCUUUCCUGAAUGGCUUGAUGGCUGCUUGCAAGGACUCACGGAGGCCCAGCGAGCACCGGCCAUGGCCAGGAACCCCUGAGUUAGGUGUGACUGUGGCUUCCUUCCCUAGAAGGUGAUUUUACUUCAGGUCAUGAUCUCCGUGGGUUAUAAAACCAUGGAAACUCAGCCAAGAGGACAGUUUACACUUCUGAGAACAAAUGAACCAGACGCACCCUUCCUUUCUGGGCCCUUUCCCGGCUUUGCACUUUAAAAUUUCCUGCAUGGCACUUGAGACCCGGUUUGAAAUUCACCUCCUCUGGCCACACAGUUUCCCAGGAACUGAGGCCCAGCCCUACCUCCUGGGGGUGAGGCCCCCCCACCCACUGCCACCACCACCAGCCUGCUUGAAAUGCACAGUAAGUUACACAAAGCAAAGACCUAUUUUUGCCUUCCUAAAUCUGUUGACUUGGACUUAUACCCACCACACUCAGAAAGCAUUGGCAACUUCAAGAAUUCAAAAAUAGCCAUCCAGGUUCGCUUCCCGUGCUUUCAUGGUUUCGUUUUUCACAUUGAUGUCUGUGAUGCAAUGCAGUGAACUUUGGUGUAAGGAGGGAGGCACGAGGCAUGAUUUGGAAACACACUGUGUUGCCCUCCAUCGGGGAAGGCCAACAUUCUCAGCUUUCUCCAUUCUGCACCCUCCAGAGUGGGUUCGCGUGGGUGACACGUCGUGCGGGCCCGAGAGGGGGGCACAGCGGGAGGGAGGUUGUCCUCACAAACAGUGGAGUGGGCUGGAGGCGCGGCAGUUCCAAGGACAGUACCAGAAAGAGAAGACCAGGAGUUAAGAACUGAACUCAGGGUGCUGCCUAGUGUAGGAAGUAGACAUGGGGGGCCUUCAUGAUAGCAGGCGGGUUAGUGAGAGAGCCAGGAGAAGACUUGAGAAGACUGUAGAGGUAGUUUGGCCAAAUAGUCCUUAGGAGGACAGCCCGAUGAGCUGGAAUUGUUUCUGCUGCACCAUCAACAUUUUGGGGGCAGCCCAUUGCGGAAGCGAGAGCGAGGGCUCGGGGUCUGACACCCUGCCUCGUCCUAGCCUCGCUGUGUGACCUUCCUCCGAAGCCUCCAUUCCUUCCUUUGUAAAGAGAAACAGCCCCGCAUCUCCUGGUUGUUCCAAGGACCUUGUGAGACCAUCUGUGAAGGUCCCUGCACAGCGGCCACGGCCUGGCAGAGGCUGAUAUGUUAAUUCUUCUUCCCUGCCCUCUUCCUUCGAUUCCGUAAGAGGCAAGCAGUGACUGAGGACCCGAGGGUGCGCACAUUUCUUCAGGUGAAAAAGGUGCCCAUGCCUGAGACUGCUUCUCCACAGGCCGUGGCCCCAGGGGGUGCCUUUCUCUCACUGCCCGCAGGGCCUGAGUGGUGCCUGGGUCCCUGGAGCUCAGACCGUCCUGGGGCAGACAGCCUGAGACUAACCUCUCCAUCUCUGUCAGCCUGUCCUGGAAAUUGUUAUUUGGCUUUACGGGGCAGAGAUGAGGAAGACAGGAACCUUAUGAAAGAUUACAUGGAAAGAAGGCUCUGUGGAAAAAAUGGUUUGGGCAAUGCUGGUUGACGUGUUCCUCGCAUGGUGUCGCACGCCAUCGUGGGGAGAAGCUGGGAGAUGAUGUCUGGAAGCCCAGACCGGGUCCCUCCAGGACUGGAAGCCCCUUCCCACUGCUGUUUUUAGUCUGUGUCCUCUCACUGUGAUAAGCCAUAACUCUCCUCUCUGGAGAUAGCAAAGCCCCUCACUGAUGAAGCCAAACUGGUUCAGGGUCUCUGUUACCAGAGCUAAAAGUACCAAAACUGAACCACCAAUAAGUGAUGGCCGAAGUGGUGUGAGAGAUGCUCAGUGGAGACUGGUGCAGUGCCUGGUACAGCUCAGGUUUCAAGGUCAGAAGGAAGCCCCAGGAACCAUUUGGCGGUCAGUACGGGCAGUGCUGUGUGCACCUGCUGCAUGCAGCCAUCCCACCACUGCGGACUUUGGUUCACCCUAUGAAUGGAUGCCCUGAGCUGCUGAGAGACUGGAGGGGCGCGGGAUGGCCAGGGGUCUCUCCAAGCUCCUCUAAGCUCCCGUGGAGUGGGUGGAGGAGGUGGGGCUGCUUCCUCACUAAUUUCAUGUGGGGAGACUGCUUUACAGUCUCAAGAAUUAAAAGGGAUUUAUGCUCCUGGUGCAGGGUUUUGGGAGACAAGCCCUCAGUUACUGGAUUAGCACCACCGGGCAGAGACUGACCUACCUUUCCUUAGGGGGCCUGGUGAGCAGGACAGCAGAAUCUCAGAAGCAUUUGGCCACUGUCCAAACCCUGCUCUGUGGCUGCUGGGCCUUCGGUUUCUUUUGGACAUGGUCUAAAAAUAAAAAUAAGAUCCAAAGAUCCUUAGCAAAGGCCAUUCAGCUCCCGCAUCAUGACUGAAGUCCUUUCUCUAAAAAAUACGGGUCCUGAACAAAGCGAGGGGGAGGGAUGGGAGGCUGACGGAGCCUGCGGCCUCCCCCAUGCCCCAUGCCUCAACCACACAGGCCAGAACCUCCGAGAAGUGGGCAGCCAAAAGGAAGAACUAAUUUGACUAUAAAGGGGUAAUUUUGUAAAAGUCAGGCUUGAAAGGAGUCAAUAGUGUGACUUUUUUUUUCAAUUGAGAUAAAAUUCACAUAACAUAAAACAACUAUUUUAAAGUGAACAGUUCAGUGGCAUUUAGCCCAUUCACAAUGCGGUGCAACCACCACCUCUAGCUCCCAAACAUUCUCUUCACCCCAAAAGGAAACCCUGCACCCAUCAGGCAGCUGCCAAUCUCUGUCUCUACAGUUUUACCUAUUCUGGAUAUUUCACAUAAAUGGGAUCAUGCAACAUGUGGCCUUUUC